rnacentral:rRNA from 1 species
GACGUAGGAGGCGAGCGUUAUCCGGAUUCACUGGGCGUAAAGCGCAUGUAGGCGGAUGUCUAAGUCGUGUGUUAAAGCCCCUGGCUCAACUGGGGGAGGUCAUGCGAGACUGGAUGACUUGAGGGCAACAGAGGCACGUGGAACUCCCGGUGUAGCGGUGGAAUGCGUAGAGAUCGGGAAGAACACCCGUGGCGAAGGCGGCGUGCUGGGUUGCAACUGACGCUGAGGUGCGAGAGCGUGGGGAGCGAACCGG